CCUACGGGAGGCAGCAGUGAGGAAUAUUGGUCAAUGGACGAGAGUCUGAACCAGCCAAGUAGCGUGAAGGAUGACUGCCCUAUGGGUUGUAAACUUCUUUUAUAAAGGACGAAACAAAUGACGGUACUUGAUUAAUAAGCCACGGCUAACUACGUGCCAGCAGCCGCGGUAAUACGUAGGUGGCAAGCGUUAUCCGGAUUUACUGGGUGUAAAGGGCGUGUAGGCGGGACUGCAAGUCAGAUGUGAAAACCAUGGGCUCAACCCAUGGCCUGCAUUUGAAACUGUAGUUCUUGAGUGUUGGAGAGGCAGGCGGAAUUCCGUGUGUAGCGGUGAAAUGCGUAGAUAUACGGAGGAACACCAGUGGCGAAGGCGGCCUGCUGGACAAUAACUGACGCUGAGGCGCGAAAGCGUGGGGAGCAAACAGGAUUAGAUACCCUUGUAGUC
rnacentral:rRNA from 1 species